ensembl:snRNA U6 U6 spliceosomal RNA
GUGCUCACAUCAGCAGCACAUAGACUAAAAGUGGAACAAUAUGGAGAGGAUUUGCAUGGCCCCUGUGCAAGGAUGACAUGCAAAUUUGUGAAGUGUUCCAUAUUUUU